UUGUGGCCCCUGCUGUGCCCAGAGCCCCGAGAGGCUUUGGCCACGCUGGCACACGGCAGCCGCAGCCCCAGGCUGCAGAGCCCUGGCUUUGCAGGCUGCGCUGCCCGGGGCACGAGCGAUCGGCCCCAGGGAGGUGCCAGGGCCUUGUGGGCAGCGGCUCCCCGUGCCGCGGGAGGCCGGGGAUCGGGGAAACUUGAAAACCAAAAGCUGCGGAGGGAGGAACAGGGAUUGCUUCAUCACAACACUGCAACUGCCAACAAAAGCUGAAGAGCUCGGAUUAGCAAGAUAACAGACAUAGCCCUGGCAGAGAUAGCCCUUUCAGAAACUGUCCAGGAAACACCCAGGCGAUGAACACCGGACAAACAUGGUUUUAUCCAGCCCAACGCAGAGAAAGAAAACUACAUGAAUAUGCAGAACAACGAAAAGAAAGAAAGACCUGUGCUCCAGGCUGGGAAAGACUGUAUAAAAACAGGACAGACCAAGAGGGCAUUUCUGAACAUUGGGGGAUCCGGUGCGCUAGAGAUCGGAUCAGGGCGUGUUCACCCGGCGCCGAUCCCGGGCUCGGUGCUGUCCUUUUUGAUUAUGG